AUUGAAAGCUGGCGGCAGGCCUAACACAUGCAAGUCGAACGAGUGGCGGACGGGUGAGUAAUGUCUGGGAAACUGCCUGAUGGAGGGGGAUAACUACUGGAAACGGUAGCUAAUACCGCAUACCAUCGGAUGUGCCCAGAUGGGAUUAGCUAGUAGGUGGGGUAAAGGCUCCCCUAGGCGACGAUCCCUAGCUGGUCUGAGAGGAUGACCAGCCACCCUGGAACUGUGAAACGGUCCAAACUCCUACGGGAGGCAGCAGUGGGGAAUAUUUCACAAUUGGCGCAAGCCUUAUUCAGCCAUGCCGCGGGUAUGAAGAAGGCCUUCGGGUUGUAAAGUACUUUCAGCGGGGAGGCGUUACCCGCAGAAGAAGCACCGGCUAACUCCGUGCCAGCCGCCGCGGUAAUUC
rnacentral:rRNA from 1 species